GACGGAGGAUGCAAGUGUUAUCCGGAAUCACUGGGCGUAAAGCGUCUGUAGGUGGUUUCAAAAGUCCACUGUUAAAGAUUGAAGCUUAACUUCAAAAAUGCCGUGGAAACUUUGAAACUUGAGUAUGAUAGGGGUAGAGGGAAUUUCCAGUGGAGCGGUGAAAUGCGUAGAUAUUGGGAAGAACACCGGUGGCGAAGGCGGCGACCUGGUCCGAGACUGACGCUGAGGCGCGAAAGCGUGGGGAGCAAACAGG
rnacentral:rRNA from 1 species